AGUUAACUCAGCACGUUUUUGUAAUUUAAUGAACAGGAAAGACAACCUUAAGCAGUGUACGGUUCAACACAGGUAUGGGCAAAAGCGUUUAAGUAGCUGGGUCACAUGUUGGUUUACGCCUUUAUGUGAGGUAUACAGUAUUGUAUUCCAGCAGUGUUUUUGGGUGUCGUGGUAUAUGUGUCGCUUGGGGCCUAUCUGCUAAGCAGCAGCUUGAUUACUUUAGCUGGUUUAGUGCUGCAAAAUGUUUAGUAUUGGCCUAAGUCAGGGCUGAUCCUGUGUGAGUAAUUAAGCAUUAAUCAGGAGCAAUCGUUAGCUGAGGUAUAGUGUAGGAUAGAAACAUAGCUGAUCUUAUGGUGCUCCAGCAAUACUUGUGAGUCCAGGAGCAUAUAUUUCGCUUGGGCCCACCAGUUAAACAGCAGUUUACAGACAUGGCGCAAAGCCAAGCGUACUAGAAGUACAUUAGUUGCUUAAAUUCUGACUAAUUUUAGCUUGUGUACUCAUAUUAUACAAUUGCUGAACUCUGACUUUAGUCCCCCCCGUGCUCCCCUGGGUGAGCAGACCAGAAAACAAAAUAGAAAGCAAAAGAAGUAAAUUAUAUGUUCCAGUAUACAUUCGUGAGAGUUCAAUUGGGGCACAGAGAGCUG